UUUGAAAACGAUAGCAGUUUUUCUAAAUCUCAUAAAAAAAUGUGUAAAAUAUCUAUAACUUUCUGAAAAAAAUUAUUGUGAGGAAAUGUAAAUUCAAUUUAAGUUGCUGUUGUUGUGUGCACCUAUCAAGAGAAAAAGAAAUCCUUCAUAGCUGUCAGCAAAAAUGAGCCGUCAAGAGCUCUGAAUUAGAAAAUAUUGCUACGGACUGGGAAGUGCUUAUCAGAAAGCUAAAACAGAUACAGAUAAGGCCAUUUCUCAUUCUCGGUCUUCAGCGCCGCCUAUUUUUAUGGAGAACAUCAAGAGCAUCAUGGACUUGUUAUCCAUUCACAACUCCUCUGGAAUAUUACAAGUGCGAGCUUGCAAAACGGGAACACAUAGUUCGGAAUCUCACCGAUGCCAAUUAUUAUAUUUCAAAAGUACCAAUGUCAAUGUUAUUUAUUGAUCUUGAGCCCAGCACCCACAACAAUAAUAUAUUCGAUGUGAAAAGCUGUGUCGUGCAGUUAAAAGUUUCGAAACGCCAAGAAAAUUUUACUAGUCCAGUGUCAUAGAUACCAAGAGUUCGGAAGCAGAGGUUUUGCAACAAACCUUUUAAAUGUAUUAAAUGUACACAAAACCACCAAAAUAUCUGACUGUGCCAAAGCAACGGAAGAGUUUACAAGCAAAUCACCCAACGAUUGUUUAAAUUACAAAGCAUAAAUCACCAUCCUGGUAACCAAAAUGAAUCUCGGUCUGCUCCAAUAAGUCAACUUAUUCCUAGUGCAACUUUUGCCAGUUUUUUUGCACCUGUCGACCUUAAGUUCAGCCAGGAAACCCUCACUCAUUGUCGAUAAGGAAGUUUAAGAGUUUUAACUGUAGGCACAUACGCAUUUCCACCUGUUUGGACCUCCAACAUGACCACAGUGCAUUUUAUCUCGAGGUUAAUACGCCGGUUCUCGCAAUGAAAAAACCUACACGUGUUCUUGGCAAAGGGGCAAAAGGUUUAAAACACAGUACCUGAGGCCGAUAAGGGCUAUGCUGCGGAAGCCCUGACCAGAAGCAUAGAUAAUGCCGUUCACAUUAGCACGCUUGGUGCUAGAUUCACAGAGAGCAACCACAAGCAGGACAGACAUGUCUAGUCCAAUAAUAUAAAGCUUUGAAAAAAGAGACGUAUUCAGCAUACAUGACAAGUCAGCAGAACUCCGCGUAACAAAACAUAGCUGAACCGUGCUACGAAUGAACGGAAGGAAGUUCUCAGGAAACUACCAACAAGUCCAUGUCCAGAUACGACGUUUGUCGCCUUACAAGGAAGUAUAGGAAACUAUCAUUGCGACUAGACAAAAGGAUAACCAUAUAUCUAGAAGCUCACCAAUUAACAAUAGCAGAGGUCACCAUAAUUAAUGCAGAAAAAGCUGACGAGUUUGUCAAACCUGACUUAUAUCGAGUUUAGUAACGGUUCUAGCAAUGAAAAGGUCAACAAGACUUUAGACAUUGCUUCUCAGAUGGAGCUACUAAUCGCUGAAAUAGAUGCGAUAGAAGCUUCCAGGAAAUGUAGUGAACUUGAUCGUCAAGCUCUUUAAUGGUAUGAUCCGCUUCUUCUCUAUUGAAAUGUGCUGAUUUUGAUUUCGAAGCCUGGCAUUACUACUGAAAAGUUCAGACAAAUCCUCGAGUACUCUUGUGUGGGAUAUAUGGAACUUAGAAUUGAUAAGAGAUACCCCAGCACCCAAAUGCGAAAAACAAAUCUAGAUGGGAGUCCAUCAUUGUGUAUUUUAAAGACAUAUUAAACCCCAAAGCUUUAUAUGAUAUUGUAGAUUAAUAAGUGCAUAUAAUUUUCCGAUUUAUGGUGUCGUAGGGAAUUUUUGACAACAUUCGCAAAACAUUUCCAGUUUCAGUUUUUCAGACGAAAAUAACAAUCACUUAUAUAAUACUA
rnacentral:lncRNA from 1 species